GGGGGCGACAUGGCUUCGACGUGGGUGAUGAAACUUUGAGUGCAUGCCGAGGGACAGAUCACCUCGUUAAUACAGCUGUAAAACCUAUAGUUGCCAACGACGACAACUACGCACUAGCUGCUUAAAAACCAGUAAGUAGUGCCAUCGGCCCGACUUGUGUCUGUACGAACGGAUCCCGGUGUUAUCUAUACAGAAUCGCGUGAGGGCAUGUUUGGGGCCUGAUCACUAAAACUUUACUAAACUGGCUGUAGGUUUUCCUCGUCCGUCGGGCAGCUUACAGUAAGAUUAAUGACGGAAUAAGCAUGUAGAGCUUGAAGCGGAGUGCUUGCGGACGCGGGUUCGAUCCCCGCCGCCUCCACCA
rnacentral:tmRNA from 1 species